GUUCAGCCGUAGAGUUAUGUACUGUAAUAUGAAUAAAUAUGGACAGCCUCGAAAUUAGAAACCAAACAAUCCAAAAUGUAAGCAUUAAAGGGGCCCUGCAGUAAUUUUUUAGUCGAAAAGCCACCUUAAGUAGGGGACUCCACGGAGAUUCGUUUGGCUGUAUCUUACAUGCAGUAUCCAUGAGUAUGAGUACUUCCACACACCGGAAGACGCAUGCAUGCCGUGGUGCGCAUGUCAAGUAGCGACAAUAACAAAAAAAUGUAAACAAUACUUAAGGUGGCUUUUCGACUAAAAAAUGACUGUAGGGCCCCUUUAAAGCACCUAAAAUAUACAAGAACCUGAU